GAUGAACGCUGGCGGCGUGCUUAACACAUGCAAGUCGAACGGAAAGGCCCAAGCUUGCUUGGGUACUCGAGUGGCGAACGGGUGAGUAACACGUGGGUGAUCUGCCCUGCACUUCGGGAUAAGCCUGGGAAACUGGGUCUAAUACCGGAUAGGACCACAUUUUGGAUGGUGUGGUGGAAAGUUUUUCGGUGUGGGAUGAGCUCGCGGCCUAUCAGCUUGUUGGUGGGGUAAUGGCCUACCAAGGCGUCGACGGGUAGCCGGCCUGAGAGGGUGUACGGCCACACUGGGACUGAGAUACGGCCCAGACUCCUACGGGAGGCAGCAGGGGGGAAUAUUGCACAAUGGGCGCAAGCCUGAUGCAGCGACGCCGCGUGGGGGAUGACGGCCUUCGGGUUGUAAACUCCUUUCGCUAGGGACGAAGCGUUAUGUGACGGUACCUGGAGAAGAAGCACCGGCUAACUACGUG
rnacentral:rRNA from 1 species